rnacentral:rRNA from 1 species
AACGAACGCUGGCGGCAUGCCUAACACAUGCAAGUCGAACGAAGGCUUCGGCCUUAGUGGCGCACGGGUGCGUAACGCGUGGGAAUCUGCCCUUGGGUUCGGAAUAACUCAGAGAAAUUUGAGCUAAUACCGGAUGAUGACGUAAGUCCAAAGAUUUAUCGCCCAGGGAUGAGCCCGCGUAAGAUUAGCUAGUUGGUGGGGUAAAGGCCUACCAAGGCGACGAUCUUUAGCUGGUCUGAGAGGAUGAUCAGCCACACUGGGACUGAGACACGGCCCAGACUCCUACGGGAGGCAGCAGUGGGGAAUAUUGGACAAUGGGCGAAAGCCUGAUCCAGCAAUGCCGCGUGAGUGAUGAAGGCCUCGGUUGUAAG